rnacentral:lncRNA from 1 species
UCAAACUCAGAAAUCCACCUGCCUCUGCCUCCUGAGUGCUGGGAUUAAAGACGUGUACCACCAUGCCUGGCUGACAUUUUUCACAGAAAUACCUUGUAGUGGUUUGAAUAUUUAUGGCCUAGGGAGUGACACUAUUAGGAGGUGUGGUCUUGUUGGAGUAGGUGUGGCCUUGUUGGAGGAAGUGUGUCACUGUGGGGUUGGGCUUUGAGACCCUCCUCCUAAUCACAUGGGAGACAGUUUUCUUCUAGUGGCCUUCAGAUGAAGAUGUAGAACUCUCAGCUCCUCCUGCACUAUGCUUGCCUGAAUGCUGCCAUGUUCUUGCCAUGAUGAUAAUGGACUGAACCUCUGAACCUGUAAGCCAGCUCCAAUUAAAUGUUUUCCUUAUAAGACUUGGCUUGGUCAUAAUGUCUAUUCACAGCAGUAAAACCCUGACUAAGACAUACCUAUGGAGAUAUGUUUCACUAAACUCCAGGUGAAGCUAAAUCCUUGGCAGAGAAGUUUAACUAUCAUAGAAACAGAUCUUUUCGCCUCAGCUGUUUCAACCAACACCAUGUGGACCAGGGAUGAGCCACCUACUUGAACCCACCCUGAGCACAUGCCCAACAUGAUCAAGAAUGAAAUCAAACAAGCAUUAUUAGGCAAUAUGAGAAUCAGUUCAGGAUGGCACAGAAAUGAAUACCUGAGAUCAGGUCUUUUGAGACACAGGUCACAUAAUUUCCCUUACAGUGGAACCUGUCCUGUUCGGAGGGGAGGCAGUGUUCAUCUUUCCCUAACUUUUAACGGAGCAUUUCUCAACCUAUGGUUUGCAACCCCCUUGGGGGUAGCUUAUCAGAUAUCCUGCGUAUCAAAUAUUUAUAUUACACUAAAUAACAGUAGUAAAAUUACAGUUAUGAAGUAGCAAUGAAAAUAGUUUUAUGGCUGGGGGUCACCACAACAUGACGAGCUCAGUUAAAGGGUUGCAACAUAAGGGAGACCGAGAGCCAUGCUCUAAAGCCUCAUGCUUAAAGCAAGCAAAAUUGUUUUUAUUGCAUAUCUCCUAUGGUGGGUGAUUUAGAUACAUUUUCUCCCCCCCUCCCUUUUUUUUUUCAAAAUGAAUUUAUAAAGAAGCCCGUCUUGUUAUUUUCUUAAGAACGAUGAGAUUUAGAAUUGCCUCUGAUGAAGAGAGGUGGUGAUCUGGGGACUGGGUGGAGCCCAGGCUAAUUGGGCUGUUGACACAGCAGUGCCUGGUGAACAUUCUAGACUUGGUCUUCCAAGACUGUGACUGACUUGCCUAUGAAUCUAGUUCCCGGGGUCCACUGUCAAAGCAUGGUUUCUGUUCACUGUGGUGUUCCCCACUGUCUGGAGAUGUCUGUCCCGGGUUCAGUAAAUUUUCAUUGAACUCCCUUGUAGAAUAAUUUCUAAGAAACUAAACAUAAAGUCCCAUUCUUGGGGAGUUGCUUCCUACUGAUACUACCUAGCCUCAGAAGCCCUCUGAAAUAUAGGUUUUUGCAACCCCUACUUCCACUGUCCUGAGAACGUUGGCCAUGGCAACCAUUAGAUAAUUUGGCCGAUGCCUGGUCUGAUUGCACAGGAUCACACACAGACAGUGCAUCGCCAGGAUACCAGGGGCUAAUGCUAUGAUCGGCAGUUACUUUGAGACAGGACCUUCCUAAAUAAAAGAGCUGUGUAUACAAUAUACACACAGUAAACGUCCUCACCUCUGCAGAGGACAUCCUUCCUGCUUUUGCUGCUGACGCUCAAGAAUGAAGCACACAGGGCCAGCCCCGACUUAAAAGGAAGCAGACCAUAAGCCCCUUAGAUAAUACGGCUGACGAGGUAGAGAUAAGAUGUGUCAGAGGUAGAUUUUCCAAUCUCCUGGUGCUCUCAGCCAUAUUGAUUGUGGACAGUAAUUUCCCCUGGAUCCUCCCAGCCCUGCUGUUCCUGACACUGUAUUGACUUUUUGACACUGUUAACCAGACUCAUCACUCCAUUAGCAUUUGCCUACAAGAGUCAGUGAAAACAUCAGAGAAAACAGUGCAGUCCGACGCCUCAUGAAAGCAGAGCUGGAGGAAGGAUUUCUAAGUUGAACAAAGCAAAAGCAAAAAAAUAAAAAUAAAAAAAAAAUGUCAGGGUAGAUUUCAGGCCUGCAGACGGUCUGGGAUUAACACAAAGCACAUCUUUCUCACCAGAAGGUUUCCAUGGAGCAACAGCCAAAAUGAGGAGAUGAUGGAGGUGUGACAGGCUGCUGAGGUGUUAGGGUAAAGAUGCUACCUCCAUGUGUAGUUAGAGACACUUGACUCCCAUGAAGAAGACAUGAGAUUCGCCUGAACUGGACUUAGAGACAAUCAUGUGCCACCAGAGGAGGGUGGUGGAAACUGAACUUGGGGAAUUUUCCCCAAGAGUGGCAUAGCUGUCUUAGCCACCGAGCUAUCGCUCCCACCCCGAUAGAUAGAUUUUGGACCAUCUUUCUGUAUCAUUCACUGAGAUGCCAUGGUUUGACUUU